rnacentral:lncRNA from 1 species
GAAGAAUGAAAUUGAUUUUGUGCAUAUACUAUUCUCCAUUUUCUUUGGUCUUCCUUCAAUAAUAAAUAAUAUGCUCUUUGAAUUCAUGAUUAAUUGCAAGACGGGAGUGGAGCUUAGAGUUGAUCGAUACUGAAAGCGGAGGGGACGUUUGGGGAUAUUUAUAUAAGAAUUCAUUAAUGAUAAAGUUAAUGAGGAUUAUACCUUAUAUAUUGCAGACUAAAUAAUGAGACAUGACGUGUUUGAAAUAGAUAGAUUGAAAUUCAAUUACAGUAAACUUAACGACAAUUGUUCCCAUCAACAAUUAAUGCCAUGGAAUAAGCUCCUUACACAAUUCUACUAUACUAAGUUAGGCCAUUGUAUGUUAUAUGUAUUACUAAUAAAAUGUAAAAAUUAUUUUACACAAUUCGACUAUACUAAUUUAGUGUACGUGUUUUGCAAGUGUGUCUCAUGUUGAUUAAUAGGACUAACACCUUCAAGAUUAUGCAUUUUACAACCUUCCCUCUAUAUUCUUGUGGGUAUUCAAUCAAAACUCCAAGCCCAUAUUAAAAGAAUCACAUCUUCUAUAUGUCUUAGUAGUGUCGAGAGGCCGAAUAUGGAUGGAAAAAGUUGAGUUUUUGGGUUGGAACUCAUAAAACGGUGGAGCUGCAGCAAAAAGAUUGCAAUAGCUGAGAAGUACAUGAAGUACUAGAACUCCAAAGUCGAUUGCCUUCUCUCCCAUUACCAACGCACAAUCCAUUUCAAUCUAUUUCAGUUGCCAGUAAUAACCUAGUCUUUCGCAAGACUUCAACCAGUUGAGGUUAGAGUUUAAGAUCUUCUUGGUGGAAUGAUCCUUGAAGAAAGAAUAUGCCAAAUAAUUUUGAUUGAUAGGAUUGCAUCUACAAUUAAAAUCAUGAAACACUACUAUUAUGUCAGAACAUUUUUAAAUAUUUAGAAUACUAUUGUUUCCAUAUCUAUAAUUUUAUUUAUGAUACAUUUUGUUUGCAUAUAUUUUUUCUUCUAUGAUUGAUUUUAUUAAUUUUUGGUGAUUUGAUAAUGUUAUUUUAUAUGAAAUAGUAACCCCUGCUUACUUGGAUUACUACUUUAAGUUGCAUCUUACAUCUAUAUAGUUUAUAUAAUUUGAAUAUUUGUUUACUAUUUUUUUAAUAUUUAAUUUCCUUAUUAGUUAUUGUGUGUUACUUUUCUUAUUAUUGGUUUUAGUAGUAUAGUCAUUAUUGCUAUGACCUCUUGUUUUGAUUAAUAUUCUAUUGUCAAUAAAUGAGUUUUCUUUAUUCGACGUGCAAUAAUUUUAGAUUAAAUUCUAUGAGAAAAAUAAUUUUUUUAUAAUGAGAUUUGGGAUGAACUGAUCGGAGUAUUCAAACAAUAAUAAUGUCAGAUCUAUAUUGGAAAUCUUAACUUAUAGACAUGAAUAACCCAUCACACAAACAAAGGUUUUUGUCGUUUUUUUUAACCUUAGCUUGCUGGACUCUAAUUUCUAGCUUAGGUGGUGGUAUUAGUUUCCAUUGAAGCUCAACCCAUUGAGUUAGGAAAUGGAAGAAGGUAAGGCUAAUGAUUACUUACUGAGCUGAGUAGAAGCAACAAUCGGCAACAUUGAAUAGUGCAAAGAGACUGUGAAAUCAAUGAUAAUAGCUGCUACUUUGUUAGGGAAUUGCGACUAGUUAGCAUGGUCGGAAUGAUCACCUCCAGGGAAAAUAACAGAACACCAAGGAAGCAGCUUUGCGGGCACUGAGGGUUGAAAUGAUGUACAGUAAAGAAUGAAACUUAUGCCAAGAACCUUUGAAGUUAAAAUAAGGAAUCAAGUCAAGGCGACAAUUUCUGAAUUUUAACUUGCAUCUCAUGCCUUCUGUUUGUGGUUCUGAUCAAGUCAAUAGCAGUGGAAACAAAAAGAGAAGGCAAAGAGAUGAAGAGGCUGUGAAAGAAACUUUCCUAAAUGACCAAAG